GAUGAACGCUGGCUACAGGCUUAACACAUGCAAGUCGAGGGGAAACGACGGGGAAGCUUGCUUCCCCGGGCGUCGACCGGCGCACGGGUGAGUAACGCGUAUCCAACCUGCCUCUGACUGAGGGAUAACCCGUCGAAAGUCGGCCUAAUACCUCAUGGCAUCGUCUGCGGGCAUCCAACGACGAUUAAAGAUUUCAUCGGUCAGGGAUGGGGAUGCGUCUGAUUAGCUAGUUGGCGGGGUAACGGCCCACCAAGGCGACGAUCAGUAGGGGUUCUGAGAGGAAGGGCCCCCACAUUGGAACUGAGACACGGUCCAAACUCCUACGGGAGGCAGCAGUGAGGAAUAUUGGUCAAUGGGCGAGAGCCUGAACCAGCCAAGUAGCGUGCAGGAUGACGGCCCUAUGGGUUGUAAACUGCUUUUAUGCGGGGAUAAAGUGAGGGACGUGUCCUUCAUUGCAGGUACCGCAUGAAUAAGGACCGGCUAAUUCCGUG
rnacentral:rRNA from 1 species